GAUUAACGCUAGCGGCAGGCCUAAUACAUGCAAGUCGUACGGUAACAGGUGUAGCAAUACAUGCUGACGAGUGGCGCACGGGUGCGUAACACGUAUGCAAUCUGCCUUUAACUGGGGAACAACCCCUCGAAAGAGGGGCUAAUACCGCAUAACAUCACCGGACGGCAUCGCCUGGUGAGCAAACCUACGGGGGUUAAAGAUGAACAUGCGACUGAUUAGUUAGUUGGCGGGGUAACGGCCCACCAAGACAGCGAUCAGUAGGGGAUCUGAGAGGAGAAUCCCCCAAACGGGUACUGAGACACGGACCCGACUCCUACGGGAGGCAGCAGUAAGGAAUAUUGGACAAUGGAGGCAACUCUGAUCCAGCCAUGCCGCGUGAAGGAUGAAUGCGCUAUGCGUUGUAAACUUCUUUUAUACGGGAAAAAUAUCCGCUAUUCUUAGCGGAUUGAUUGUACUGUAGGAAUAAGGGUCGGCUAACUUCGUGCCAGCAGCCGCCGUAAUAC
rnacentral:rRNA from 1 species